UUGAACGCUGGCGGCAGGCCUAACACAUGCAAGUCGAGCGGUUGAGAGUAGCUUGCUACUUGAUGCAGCGGCGGACGGGUGAGUAACGCGUGGGAAUCUGCCCAGUAGUGGGGGACAACAGCCGGAAACGGCUGCUAAUACCGCAUACGCCCUACGGGGGAAAGGGGGGGAUCUUCGGACCUCUCGCUAUUGGAUGAGCCCGCGUCGGAUUAGCUAGUUGGUAGGGUAAAGGCCUACCAAGGCUACGAUCCGUAACUGGUCUGAGAGGAUGAUCAGUCACCCUGGAACUGCGACACGGUCCAGACGCCUACGGGAGGCAGCGGUGGGGAAUAUUGGACAAUGGGGGAAACCCUGAUCCAGCCAUGCCGCGUGUGUGAAGAAGGCCUUAGGGUUGUAAAGCACUUUCGGUGGGGAGAAAGGUUUGUCACCUAAUACGUGAUGAAAUUGAUGUUACCCACAGAAGAAGCACCGGCUAACUCCGUGCCAGCAGCCGCCGUAACAC
rnacentral:rRNA from 1 species